rnacentral:rRNA from 1 species
UACGGAGGAUGCAAGCGUUAUCCGGAUUUAUUGGGCGUAAAGAGCUCGUAGGCGGUCUGUCGCGUCGAUCGUGAAAACUUGGGGCUUAACCCUGAGCUUGCGGUCGAUACGGGCAUGACUGGAGUUCGGCAGGGGAGACUGGAAUUCCUGGUGUAGCGGUGAAAUGCGCAGAUAUCAGGAGGAACACCGGUGGCGAAGGCGGGUCUCUGGGCCGAUACUGACGCUGAGGAGCGAAAGCGUGGGGAGCGAACAGG